GUGGCAGACGGGUGAGUAACGCGUGGGAACGUACCUUUCACUACGGAAUAGCUCUGGGAAACUGGUGGUAAUACCGUAUACGCCCUCAGGGGGAAAGAUUUAUCGGUGAAAGAUCGGCCCGCGUUGGAUUAGCUAGUUGGUGAGGUAAUGGCUCACCAAGGCGACGAUCCAUAGCUGGUCUGAGAGGAUGAUCAGCCACACUGGGACUGAGACACGGCCCAGACUCCUACGGGAGGCAGCAGUGGGGAAUCUUGCACAAUGGGCGAAAGCCUGAUGCAGCCAUGCCGCGUGAAUGAUGAAGGCCUUAGGGUUGUAAAAUUCUUUCGUCAGGGAUGAUAAUGACCGUACCUGAAGAAGAAGCCCCGGCUAACUUCGUGCCAGCAGCCGCGGUAAUACGAAGGGGGCUAGCGUUGUUCGGAAUUACUGGGCGUAAAGCGCACGUAGGCGGACUUUUAAGUCAGGUGUGAAAUCCCGGGGCUCAACCUCGGAACUGCAUUUGAAACUGGAAGUCUGGAGAUCAGGAGAGGUUAGCGGAAUACCGAGUGUAGAGGUGAAAUUCGUAGAUAUUCGGUGGAACACCAGUGGCGAAGGCGGCUAACUGGACUGAUACUGACGCUGAGGUGCGAAAGUGUGGGGAGCAAACAGGAUUAGAUACCCUGGUAGUCCAC
rnacentral:rRNA from 1 species